rnacentral:misc_RNA from 1 species
UUUCCGUAGGUGGACCUGCGGAAGGAUCAUUAUUGUAUAACCGAGGUGCGAGGGCUGUCGCUGACCCGAAAGGUCGUGCACGCCCGAGUACCCUCACACACAUCCAUCUCACCCCUAUGUGCACCACCGCGUGGGUCCCCCUUUGGCUUGUUCGGAGGGGGGCUUACGUUUUCACACAAACUUUGUAUGCAGUGUAGAAUGUAUUUUUUGUUUUUGCGAUCACGCAAUCAAUACAACUUUCAACAACGGAUCUCUUGGCUCUC